rnacentral:rRNA from 1 species
GAUGAACGCUGGCGGCGUGCGUAAUACAUGCAAGUCGAACGCACUGCGAAAGGUGCUUGCACCUUUCAAGUGAGUGGCGAACGGGUGAGUAACACGUGGACAACUUGCUUCAAGCCUGGGGAUAACAUUUGGAAACAGAUGUUAAUACCGAAUACAACUCAGUGUCGCAUGACACAAAGUUAAAAGGCGCUUUGGCGUCACUUAGAGAUGGAUCCGCGGUGCAUUAGUUAGUUGGUGGGGUAAAGGCCUACCAAGACAAUGAUGCAUAGCCGAGUUGAGAGACUGAUCGGCCACAUUGGGACUGAGACACGGCCCAAACUCCUACGGGAGGCUGCAGUAGGGAAUCUUCCACAAUGGGCGAAAGCCUGAUGGAGCAACGCCGCGUGUGUGAUGAAGGCUUUCGGGUCGUAAAGCACUGUUGUAUGGGAAGAACAGCUAGAAUAGGGAAUGAUUUUAGUUUGACGGUAUCAUACCAGAAAGGGACGGCUAAAUACGUGCCAGCAGCCGCGGUAAUACGUAUGUCCCGAGCGUUAUCCGGAUUUAUUGGGCGUAAAGCGAGCGCAGACGGUUGAUUAAGUCUGAUGUGAAAGCCCGGAGCUCAACUCCGGAAUGGCAUUGGAAACUGGUUAACUUGAGUGCAGUAGAGGUAAGUGGAACUCCAUGUGUAGCGGUGGAAUGCGUAGAUAUAUGGAAGAACACCAGUGGCGAAGGCGGCUUUCUGGACUGUAACUGACGUUGAGGCUCGAAAGUGUGGGUAGCAAACAGGAUUAGAUACCCUGGUAGUCCACACCGUAAACGAUGAAUACUAGGUGUUAGGAGGUUUCCGCCUCU